GGCCGCCGCGCACUCCACAGCAUGCGGUGCGGCACGAAAGAAAAGGAGGCUUUAAACAAACCCGAGCAGCUCGCGGUGCGGCAGUGUGGAGACCUGCCGUAAAGCAUGGCACAGCAAGCCUGUGCAUGCGAGGCGGUUGAAGCGGAGGCUUUGCCGCCAGAGCUGGAAACAUGGC
rnacentral:ncRNA from 2 species